rnacentral:rRNA from 1 species
UACGGAGGGUGCGAGCGUUAAUCGGAAUGACUGGGCGUAAAGGGCACGUAGGCGGUGAAUUAAGUCGGAUGUGAAAUCCCCGGGCUCAACCUGGGAAUGGCAUUCGAAACUGGUUGGCUAGAGUUUUGUAGAGGGGGGUAGAAUUCCACGUGUAGCGGUGAAAUGCGUAGAGAUGUGGAGGAAUACCGGUGGCGAAGGCGGCCCCCUGGACAGGAACUGACGCUGAGGUGCGAAAGCGUGGGGAGCAAACAGG